CGGAUCGGAGUCUGCAACCCGACUCCGUGAAGCUGGAUUCGCUAGUAAUCGCGCAUCAGCCAUGGCGCGGUGAAUACGUUCCCGGGCCUUGUACACACCGCCCGUCAAGCCAUGGAAGCCGGGGGCGCUUGAAGUGCGUUGCCCGCAAGGCGCGCCCUAGAGCGAAACCGGUGACUCGGGGCUAAGUCGUAACAAGGUAAC
rnacentral:rRNA from 1 species